rnacentral:tmRNA from 1 species
CUGGCAUAUGGGGUAUCAUUCCAAGCAGGAUGCCGGUGCGGACUCCUUUAAAGCACCCUAAGCCCCAAAGGAUAAGUUACAGGUGGCCUGUCUUUCGGCAGCCUGUUCCCGACAAUUAAAGAAAGAAUAAGCAUGUAGAAAGCAUAUUGAUGGUUUGGUUGGACGGCGGUUCGAGUCCGCCCAUCUCCACUG